rnacentral:rRNA from 1 species
AUCGGUUGCUGGAAUGCACGAUGUUCGAAAGCUGAGGCGCCCAAGGAUAGGUCUGCGGCCGAUUAGGUUGUUGUUGAUGUAACGGAUCAACAAGCCUACGAUCGGUACGGGUUGUGAGAGCAAUAGCCCGGAGAUGGGUUCUGAGAGAAGAACCCAGGUCCUACGGGACGCAUCAGGCGCGAAAACUUUACAAUGUGCGAAAGCACGAUAAGGGAACUCUGAGUGCCUCCUAAGGAGGCUGUUCAAGUGUCUAAAAAGCACCUGAAGGAAGGGCUGGGUAAGACCGGUGCCAGCCGCCGCGGUAACACCGGCAGCCCAAGUGGUAGUCAUGCUUAUUGGGUCUAAAGCGUCCGUAGCCGGCCGGGUAAGUUCCUUGGGAAAUUUGACCGCUUAACGGUCAAGCUUUCAGGGAAUACUGCUUGGCUUGGGACCGGGAGAGGUCAGAGGUACUCCAAGGGUAGGGGUGAAAUCCAUUAAUCCUUGGGGGACCACCGGUAGCGAAGGCGUCUGACCAGACCGGGUCCGACGGUGAGGGACGAAGGCUAGGGUCGCGAACCGGAUUAGAUACCCGGGUAGUCCCAGCUGUAAACGAUGCGGGCCAGGUGUUGGCAUUACUGCGAGUGAUGCCAGUGCCGAAGGGAAGCCGUUAAGCCCGCCAUCUGGGGAGUACGGUCGCAAGGCUGAAACUUAAAGGAAUUGGCGGGGGAGCACCACAACGGGUGGAGCUUGCGGUUCAAUUGGACUCAACGCCGGUAAUCAC